rnacentral:rRNA from 1 species
UACGGGAGGCAGCAGUGGGGAAUCUUGCGCAAUGCGCGAAAGCGUGACGCAGCAACGCCGCGUGGGGGAAGAAGGCCUUCGGGUUGUAAACCUCCUUCAGUGGGGACGAAGGGCUUCGCGGUUAAUAGCCGUGGAGUCUGACGGUACCUUCAGAAGAAGCCCCGGCUAACUAC